rnacentral:lncRNA from 1 species
CUCUGGGCAGCAUUGCUUCCUGCUGGGUACGGGGCAGGGCCCUCUCUCGAAUGGGGGUCUUACGACCGACAACCAAACAAGGUCUUCUGCUAGAUUCCCCAUCCCAGACGGAGUUUGUGCCGUUCGGAGCCUGGUCCGCUGCCAACACACUCACUGACCUCAGUUUGUCCUGAUGCCAUCCCUCACUGUUCCAGGGCUUAAGACCUUGCUGAUACUCUUCAAUGUGUGACUUGGAAAGCUUCCAUUUCCAGGUUCAGUCCUCUCCACCUUGAUGGCCCCCUGCCUGGGCCUCUGCUCCACAUUCCUUGUGAGAAUCCCCUGCUGUCUUCCCUUCCCCCAGUUUUAACUCUCCCGGGUACCAGUGCCUGGACUGCCUCCUGCAUGCCAAUGCCUGGACACCACUAGGCACGACCCUCUUCCUCCCUGGCACUGCCUCCAUCAGUAGUCUGCAGUGGCUGCUGAUCCUUCCAGCUCGGGACCCCUUCUACUGCCUCUUUCUCUCCCCACCAGCAGGGAAGACUCCUGUGUGCUGCCUGAUGCCAGAGCCCACACAGGAACUGAGGACCACUCCCACCUGACCCCUUCCUUCCCACUGGUUUUCAAGCCUGGAAUCCCUAAUCCAUUGCAUUGCAUCUAGGCUUACUUGCACCUUGUUCAAGGUCCAUGAUCUUCUAUGGAGCCUCCUCUGAUGAGCAUGCAGGGGAUUUAAGUUCUAUCUCAUUGUAUUAGCCCAUUCUCACUCUGCUAAUAAAGACAUAUCUGAGACUGGGUAAUCUCUAAAGGAAAGAGGUUUAAUUGACUCACAGUUCCACAUGGCUCAGGAGGCCUCAGGAAACUUACAGUCAUGGCAUAAGGGGAAGCAAAUAUGUCCUUCUUCACAUGGUGGCAGCAAGAAGUGCCAAGCAAAAGGAGGAAAAACCCCUUAUAAAACCAUCAGAUCUUGUGAGAACUCACUAUCAGGAGAACAACAUGAGGCUAACCGCCCCCAUGAUUCAAUUACCUCCCACCAGGUCCCUCCCACAACACGUGGGGAUUAUGGGAACUACAAUUCAAGAUGAGAUUUGGAGGUGGGGAGGGAAACAGUCGAACCAUAUUACUCGUUCA